GACGAACGCUGGCGGCGUGCCUAAUACAUGCAAGUCGAACGCAGUUGGGACGGGUGAGUAACACGUGGGUAACCUCCCAUCAGAGGGGAUAACACUUGGACACAGGUGCUAAACCGAUACUGAUGGCGGGACCCGCGGUGCAUUAGCUAGUUGGGUAGGUACGGGCUCACCAAGGCCACGAUGCAUAGCCGACGUGAGAGGGUGAUCGGCAAGACUGGGACGGAGACACGGCCCAGAGUCCUACGGGAGGCAGCAGUAGGGAAUCUUAGGCAAUGGACGAAAGUCUGACCGAGCAACGCCGCGUGAGUGAAGAAGGUUUUCGGAUCGUAAAACUCUGUUGUUAGAGAAGCGGUAUCUAACCAGAAAGCCACGGCUAACUACGUGCCAGCAGCCGCGGUAAUAC
rnacentral:rRNA from 1 species